CGAGCGCUCGCAGCGUACACAAAUUCGCUGCCUAGUGGGCGCGUUCUGGUUUGUCGCGUCGCUCGUUUACUGUAUAAUGUAAAUGGAGGAGGAAUUGGAUCUGAAACUCUCACUCCUCUCCCCCGACUCACCGACAAACAACGUGGGACGCUUGAAUUUGUUAUACCACACCACAGAGACUUUUGCACUGAUUUUUAUACAUCGCCGCGUCACAAGUAAAUGUCGCGUUUCGCGGAGCUGGAAAAUAUGUGUAAACUACUGACAGCGGUGAAAAACAUUGCACUGUCAUCCGCGGUUGAGUACUCACAAAUGUCAUGCACUGUUCAAGAGCCUUUGCCUUCUGUGACAUUCAGCGGACUUAAUAACAACCAACAUGAAGCAGACAGAUACAGUCAGAGCGCGUUGCCUAUUCUAAAGGACCUUUAAACUUGUUGAAAUCAUUGUAAACAUGGAAGAGGCAGGCGCUGGGAACGGUACUGGGACGCAGGGCUGUGAACUGGAGCGUUCUGGAGACGGAGGACUGGAUGAGGUGCAGAUGCAUCUCGCCUGCUUACCGGAGCGAUACAUGAGAGCCAAGUUUUCCCUCUCCGCGUACAUAUUUUGUUGGACAGUAGUAAAGUUGUGUCAGGCCCCAGCUUUAGAGGACUCUGGGAGUGAGGCAGCCUGUCUGGAUGAUGGGGAGUCUCAGCAGGAGGGGCAUGGAGAGCAACAGGACCAUCAGGAAUGGUGUGAGCCGGUUCCUGAAGCAGCACAGGACACAAAAGAGGGAUAUUUUGACACACACUCAUGGCCCAGUGACACUUUCUCUGAAUCGAGUCAUGAAACUAAGGACUGCUGCAGGACACCGCUCAGCUAUGAGGUUGGAUCUUGCUCUGUGGGUCAUCUGGACUCACACUCUCCAUUUGUCAAACCGUCACCUUUGGUUAGAGGGAGAAAUCCCUCUUCAACAAAACAG
rnacentral:lncRNA from 1 species